UAAAAAAAUAUAUAUAGGAUACAUUGAUAAGACAAUGAAUAUUAAAAUAAAUACAUUUUGUCUUCCACUAAUGCAUUUAAGACAAUUUGAUUUUACUUAUUUGGUGAAACACUUUGAGAUUUUAUUGUAUUUUAGCAUGUGCUACAUAAAUUAAGUUUAUUAUUAAAUCCUCCCUACUUGAAACAACAAACAUAACAGGACUUUACCAUUCUUAUAUGUCCUAACUUAACUGUGUUACGUUGUGCUUAAGUUAUGAUUUUAAGUGAUGCUUACUUAAUAUAGAAAUAGUUCAACUCAAUCAAAAAUUAUUAGUUUCAUUUACUCAAAAAGGAAGAACAUGUUACACGAACUUGACAUAUUUAAGUUAACAGAACUUUUUAAAGACUUUGAGUAUACACUACUUAAUCUAUUUAAUUACUUUGAACAUUCGGGUUUACAGUGUAAAGAUUUAAAGAGUAAGGUUUUCUUAUAUAAUAGAUUAUGUGUAUUAAUGGUUACUUGCAAAACCUUUUCUCGUUGGUAAGCAUAAAUAUGACUAUGUGAUGUGCUAAAGGAAAAUAACAAAACAGACAAUACAGAAGAAGAAAAUUGCACGUCUGAUUUAUUUGCAGUGUCCACAAAAAACAGAAGAACCAUUCUUAGGUUACAGUUAGAUGCCACACUUUGAUGCUUGCUGUUUGGUACAACAUAACUUUGUACUAACUUUGAAGCAUUAGAUAAAUGUUAGCCCAGACACAAAGGUGCCAGGCUUUUUCUGAGAGCUUUCAUACACUCAAAAAAAUGAAUGAGGUGGAUUGUUCAGUGUAUAUUAAUUAUUUAUUUUCAUUUUACUUAAAAUAUAUGUUUUUGUUAAGUUAACAUGUGUUUUUCUAAUCAAGUCUACGUAAUUGUGUCUAUUAUUCACUGUACAUAAUACUAAUGUGUUACUUGAUGGCAUGACAUUUAAGUUAAGUCAAUUAGGAUCGAUAUACUUUGUAUAUCCACUAGGUGGCAGUAAUGCAAAAACAGUUGUAAUGAAACCGCGAAGAACAACAAGGUUUCACGGCUUGGGCCUGCUCAUGAGCAAGACUUCAAAUUUAACUUAAAAACGUUGUUUUGGCGCCAAGCUGCUGUUUCUUUGAGAGAUCCUGCCUUUACCUGCUCCCUCCUAUACUGAUGUGGUGUAUGUGGUACUGCUGAGCUUGUAUGUGAUCUGAACCAUUGUAAAGGUUGCAGUUCAAGGGCCUGAGGUGGAAGCAGAAUUUGUGAGGAUUACUACUGCUCCACUUGUUCCAAGGCUUUUUGCACAACUUGACCAAUACACUGACCGGCUCAUAAAAGUCUUCAAGAAAAAAGGAGGCGCUGCAGUGAAGUAAAUUAGACAAAUUUUGGCCCCACCCACACAGGUGCAUUAUUCUGUUGGUAGCAAAAUAUUAUGGCUAAUAAGAUCACUUUCAAAUUUAAACAGCUAGUGUAUGGUAGCUGCACAGUGUACUUACAUUUAUAUUAAGCAAGACAAAGUUUGGUACUCAAAACUUUGGAAAAUUAAAAUUACCUAAACAUAAGUAAAAUCUGAUCCCUCAAUUUCGGGUUAAACCAUAAGUGAAUGUUUUUAUGUUAAAGAUCAGUUUUUGAAUGCAAAAACGAUGAUGUAUUAGUUUGUCUAUACCUCCAUUAUGGACAUAUAUAAUGUGGUGGAAACCCUGCCCAACAGGUUAACUAUUCAUGUCCAUGUGAUGAUUAGUUGGUCUUGUGUACAUGUCUAUCUGUGCAGUGAAUAUGUCAUUCAUUUUGCGUAUAAUGUGAGUUUGUGUCAUCCUAAAGUAUAUCUGUUUUCUCUUCCUGUAUCUCUGCCACUCUCUACGGAAGGAAACUAUUGAAAAGGGGAGGGAGUGUGUCCUCAGGGCACUACCUUUUUACCUGAAUGAAGACCCAAGUAUCCUCUUCAAAGAAUAAUUGCUACAGCUACAGCUGUUCAGAGGGAGCUGGAACAAAUUACCCUUGCUGUCUUCACCAUCGAAAAAGCUGAUGUCAGCACUCCUCCAGCCGAUGUGGGUAUAACCAUCUAGGGUGUUCUGCAUGACCUGGAAAACAUGGCCUUUGAAGUACUUCAGAAGCUCUUCCUUCAUCUGUAUGUCAGCAGACUCUUGACCAAGGUACAGAUGCUCAAGAAUAAACUGAAUGAAUAAGCCAACCCUUAAUUUGGAUGAUGAAUGUUCUGUCAGAUGGACGGAAGUUUUUCAGAGGCUGAAUGGGAAUAAAACGGUAAUUUGUUGAAAAUGACAGAUAAAGGGAAAAUUACAUUUAAGAGAAAUUUUGAAAACUUUGUAAACUACUACAAUUUGAGAGAUUUUACUCUUGUGGGGGGAGGGGGGCUAGUAAGAGACAAUCAAAAGUAUUGAGAUUUAAAGGAUUUAAUUGAGAGAUGAUACUGCACCAGAAAUGUUGAAGGGUGGUGUGUAUAUUAGCGUUCAAGGUAUAUUGUUAUGAGGUGGAAAUAUGUUCAUAUUCUGUUUGUGUUACAUUGUGUGCAUUGUAAAGGUAAUUGCAAUACAUACUAAGAAUAAGGGUAAGUUAGGAAUGCAGGAUGAAUGUAUAUUUUGCGGGCUUUUAAAGACGAACAAUUGUUUCCAUGUUAAAAUGUUUACAACCCAAGUUUUUUGCCCAAACACUGGUAAAAUAAACGUUGAGUGUGGCAAGUGUUAAAUGGUUACUGUUGUGCUGUUGCAAAAAAACUGAACGCUGACAAGCUGUUUUAUUGUUAGACCAUAAUGCUGGCAUGUUUUAUUAAAGUUUUAUUUGGGAUGGUGAUAUAAUUUUCUUUGAUUGCUAAUAUCAGUGGACUAUUUAUUAUUAUUAUUAUUAUUACAACAUUAUUUUUUUUAAUUGUGGCUGUUGAGGUGGACACUUCACUUUGCAUUGUUAAAGGAAAGCACUUCAUUGGCGUUGUGUUACUGGACUGACCCUAAGCAAUCAUUGCAAAUAGCAACUUUGCUAUCCAUUUUAGACACUAAAAGAAAAAACACUCCACAGACCUUACUAGCAUCACAUGUGCAUAACUCAAGUGUCAUCUUAUCAACAUGUUAUGUGGUCUUCAAUGUUUUUUUCUUCUAUUUCUGGCAGAUACAGACAUUUAAUUUAAAGUGUUGAUGUUCCAUCUGUCUACAUACUGUUAGUUACUAACCCUAAUGACCUGUUGUGUUUUAUUUUGGACUGGGUUUACACAAAUGCUCACUGAAUGUGUUGGCAAUAAAAGAAAUUUAAAAAAA